UGUAACUUCAAGAACAGCGUGGCUUUUUCAAUGAAGUUCCUUGUUCCAAAGUAAGAGGAAGCCGCUUCCAGCAGCUCUGUGUCUUUCUCGGCAGUUCAGGCUGAUGGUGUUGGUCAUUGUCCGUUCCACUUGGAAGGACUGCAAAGGAAUAAAAUGAACACCCGUGGUCAAAUGCCAUCUUCAAAAGGCUGCAAGCACAACUGCUAAAAUACAUUCUCCGAACUCACAUGAAACUCUAUUUUAGUGAAAAGAUGAUUCCUAGAGACCUAAGUUCUACCACCCACAAUGUCUCAUGUUAAUGUGUCUUUUUAAUUUGUAGUUUAUUAAUCUUAUUCACGUUCCUCUACGUAAAAGUCCAUGAACUACCAGUAAUUUCUGCUUUCUGGUUGCCUUUAUGUCUGAAAUGUUUUCUUACCAUUUCUUGGCUGGUUUGAUUUCUUAGCCUUUUCCAGUUGAAAAAUUACGGGUCCUGUUUUUUGUUUGGUUUUGUUUUGUUUGUAAAAUAUCUGAUGAUCUAACAAACAGAAAACCUUACAAGAAAAAUCUUCCCUUGGAAAGACGUCACGUCCAAUUUUUCAUAGGUUUUCCCCCAAAUAUAAAUAACAUUUACUUAAGCCAGUAGAUAUUAGUGGGCUGAUCUAAAACUAUAUGAUAAUGACAUUUGAAUUCCUGUUGUCAUUACUUUAAUAGAAAGUCCUACUUUCAGUUUUGCUAACCAGGAAACAGGCAGAACUAGAUACUUCUUUAAAAGCCACAGCUGCAAAAUGUCUACUUUUAUUUGUGAAAAGGUACACUGUCCUUUACGCAUAUAUGGGUGCCUUGCAUUGCUCUAUCAUGAGAAAGGAUGACAGUAAACAUCCCUUUUUGCUGAGAUGGGAAAAGCUGCAGCAUCAGCAAUCCAUCACUUCAAACCUUAAAUAGCAAAACAACUGCAUGGUAUUAUUAAUACAGAUACUAAAACUGACUGAAAAAUAGCAGUACCUUCUUCAAGAGAAAUUAGAAUCAUGGCUAAUUUCAGUGUUGCUCAUUCUGUUACUUGCAGCUCUCAGGAGUUUGCCCAGAGGUUUCUGUCAGAACCUGGCCACAGGUCAGACUCAAAGGGUCUGUCCUUCUGGUUACUAUUAACUUUGAUGAAAGUCGGGUCAGCUUACUAUCUCCCUUGCUCCCUCGUUGCAAAGGGAUCUGAAAUGUGCAGUAGAUUUUGCACUUGAGUAACUCCUCCCCUCUGGGCCACCGCUUCUGAGUGGGUCCUACUGAAGUGUAGCUAGAAGCUGGAAGAAUUGGAGGUCAAUGGUCCUGGCUCUGAUCUGGUUAAACUCUCAUAAAGUUCAUCAGGGUUAAUUUUAUAAAUAUUUUGGUGUAAGAUAAUUUGGGCCAUAUUAACUGAAUCAUCUGCCAUGGUAUUUUCCCCUUCUACUGAAGCACAAUUCAGUUAUUCAUGUGUGUUAAUUAAUAAUCCUUCAAGAGCCAAAGCAUUAGUACAUCAUUUAUUCCUUCCUGCCAGGAAAAUUAUACAAGAGAUUUUGUAUUCAUUGCUCUGUUGCCAGAAGAACUAUACUCAAGAAAUGGAAAAUCAGGGAAAGACAGACUGCCCACUCUGCAAAAGCAUCGACGGCAUACAUCAGACUUUGCUUAUCACUUCCUUGAACAAAACCACACAGCCUUGAUGGGAAAAUGGCAGACUUCGACAAACAAAUCUCAUAUAAAACUGCCACUGCAUUUGGAAAAAAACAGAAGUCCUUCCCAGGGAAUUUUUCUUUCUUAUCUGAUACAAGACCUUUGUAACUGCUCUAUUCCUUUAACCACAAGACUCAUUAAUGAGGGCUACUUGGCGAUGGCUACAUCACAACUUUGACAUAAUUGUCCCCAGCAGUGAUUUAAGGAGGGAAAAUACAUCCCUCCUGCAAAAAUAAACAACCUGAAACUUUCCCAGCAGUAUCAGUUCCAGUCUGGUGGAGAGGACAUAGUUCAGCGCUGAUGACACCACUCUUCUGCUGCAGCCACCCCUCGGGUGCAGCAGCAGAGCUGAGCACCCAGUGUCCAGGGUGGUCAGAAAGCUUGCCUCUAGGGUAGCGUCUAGGCCAGUUCGUUUAACGGUUCUCCUCCAACCACUCUUGAACAGAGGUUGGUUGUAUUCUUAUAUUACUCGAAAUGGCCCGUUUGGUUUAUGCACACCUCUUCUGCCCAUUUGUCACUGCAAAAUUAAUCAAACGGAAAACUCGCCUAAACCCUUAUUAAAAUGUUCAUUCUUAUUCAGCAAAGCUAUCUAUUUAUCAAAGUAAUCUAUUAUCUCAUGCGGAAUGAUCUUAUCCAUCCACAUGAGGAGCCCUAAGAGAUAGUGAAACAUAAUUAACGUAGAGGUUUAUGAAUUCAUUAUAGAAAAUUCUUGCCUGUCAAUGGAGAAGAAUAGCUCAUCCCCAUCCCAAGAUGUACAUUUCUGUCACCUUUGUCUCCAGAUAAGGCACAAAGAUAGCAUUUGGGUUGAGAAGGUUUUACUUCUAGGUCCAACCGAUGACUUGAAUAUACUAUUAUAUGGGUCGUUCCUCAAGAAAACAGUUUCUCCUACAAGAUUGUGUAGUAUUUGGAAAGCACCCAAGUAAAAUCAUAAAACUGUCUGGGUUUCUGGUGGUUUUGUCCUCAAACAAAACAGAUGUGCUCAGGUUUUGCUGCCCUCUGCCAGUGCAGGCACAAGUACUGUGGUGAAGAAAAAAAAAAUCUGGUAACCAAGCCUUUGAUAUAGAAAAACCACACGGAGUUGAGUCAUAAACUGUGGACACGAGACAACUAAUUAUGGGUUAUGUUAGGCAUGGGGAACAGGUUAACUGCUACAUAAUUACAAUUGAGAUCGCUGUGGACACAGUCAAGGAAACCCAGUUAAUAGAAAGAAGUAAAUGAAAAUGUAUUGGUAUCUACGUAUACAACUUCUGUUUUCGUUAGCCUCUUUAGUGAUUUCAGAUGUUCUCGAUGCUUUACCACUGCUUAAGCAUUAUAUUUAUGAAGCCUAAACAGGGGUUUGUAUUUCACAUUCUGCUAUUUUUCAUGAGAACAGCAGGGAAGGAGUUAGUAAAGGUUCCUUUAAUAAGCACCCUGCAUGGGUGGCAUUGCCAGUUGAGUGAUACUCCAGAUACCAGAGACACAAUACAAACUGGAAAUCUGUGAAACAGAAACCCCUGUGAAACAGAUCACUGAGCGGUGGAAAGGAGAUGGGUGGUCGUACCGAAAGGGUUGGUAGUCGAAGGGCUACUGGGAAAGGAGGGGCACUGGAAGUGGGACUUGGGGGACACCACGGGCAGCAGAGCCCCGCGGCUGCCCCGGCCACCCCACCAGCAGGAGUGGCCCUGCCAGGGCUCAGGCAGAGCUAUCUGCUGCGAAGCCACCUCUUGUGGAGAAAAACCUUCUUCUGACAACAACAAAGGAGCGAGAAAAGCAAGGCGAGUGUCAAGAUGGGCUGCAUCCCCAAGGCUUCCCUGAAGGCCUGACUCAGACUGAUUUGCAGGCUUCCCCAUUUCCUCCUAGCCUGGUGGAAACUUACCCUGGUUCCUUGAACUCAACCUCCAGAAGUACACACCAUUUCUGAGUACAUACCUAUAUAUAGCCUCCUUCUGCAACGCCACCUCACUGUCAGAGGCUGUUUCCCGUUGACACCAGCUAAAUGUGGUAUUGAAGUUUGAGGCUGAGGUGAUGGGUCUCUACCUGGGUGAGCAGGCAGACAGCCAGAGGGAUGUCCAGGUUGCUUGACCUUACUGUGGUGUCAGAACUCGCACAGUGGAGUUGCAGGCAAACACUGUGGCUCUUUGGGUUUCUCUGUUUGCCACAAUGAUUCCGCUUUUGGUGCCACUGUGGGUAAGCCCGGGCGGUGCGGUGCAUGCCGGCAGCCACCCAUGCAGGGUAUCCCUCUGCCCCACCAGGCAUCUCCCUCCAGCUCUGCAGGUGGGGACGCACUCUUGUGCAAGAUGCCCAGGUGUGCUCCCGCUCUUUCAGGCACAUGGACUCUCGUCUUGGGUUUUGAUCUGCACCUGUAAAGGCACAGGUGUCCAGAUCAUCAAGGAGGAUGUCACAAUGUCCUUGAGCUUUCCCAUAAAAAUUCCUGGCAGUUUCCAGGUCCUGUAUGUGCUGGAGAAGGUGUUUCUGUUUAAAGCACAUUGACAUCAAUAUAUUUACACACGUUAAUCAUGUGGGAAAUGUCCAGUGUAUAUAAAUCCAUCUAACAUCUCACAAGCCUCCAUACUUUUUAUUACUGAAAACAACUUAAUCAUCAGCAGACUUUAAUUAGCUGGCUGCCUGCUUCCUCCCGCAGAGCGUCAGUGCCUGCGAUACCCCUGGUCCCAGAAAAGAUCCCUGGCUUUACACCGCGAUUCAUUUAUUUUCAGUGCUAAGGAACAAACUUCCCCUUGUGUAACCAUUUCUAAGUCUUUGCCAAGACUUUGCUUCUUCCCUAUGGUUACUUAUACUCCAACCAUUUGCACUGUGGAUGUUUGGAUAUUAAAAAAUUAUGAAGGGCUUUUUUGAAUGCUAAUGUAAAUUGCAUUUUCCAGAUCACCUUUUCUGCAGCUCACCUUCAGGCAUGCUAUUCCAAGUCACUGACAAAGCGGCUGCUCCCCGCUCACCAAACCUAUGAUUUAGAAAGACAGAGGCACUUGUGAUUCCCUUCCACACAAAGAAACGUCCUGUCUCAAGACCUCAACCAUGAGUUAUGAGCACGUAGAGCUUUGCAGCCACUGCAUAUUAGAAAUAACAACUAAUUACAAAACUGUAAAGUGAAACAUAAUUACUAAGGAAGAGUAUUUAAAUGCCACCAUAGUUUAUUUUGAUAGAUGAGCCUGUCUUGAAAAUGAAGGAUUUCCCACAGGAGAAAUAAAGAGUCUCAAGUUGCUUUUUGAUCUAAAGGCAAUUUCUAGACUUCUUUUUUUUUUAUCACCUCCUUUGAAGGGAAUCAUGACUCAGAGAGACACAGGGUUAAGGGUGUAAUGAACAUUAAAGGCUCCUGUCACUGCAGCAAGACUCCAAAAAAAUUUUCAGGGACUCCAGACCUAUGAUUUUAUUUUUUUUUCUGUUUCUCCUGGAGUUGGUGUGAUAGGAUGUAAAGCAAAUCUGGGCCCUGAUGGAUGACAAUUGCUGCUCCAAGAGAAAAAAAAGAAGAGAUCACUUCAGAAAGAUCACCAAGCAAGGACCAUAUACAUCGAGGUUCAGGGAUCCAUUUCCAAGUAAUCUGACUGGAAAAAACAGGAAAAGGGGUAAAAAAAGAAAGCAAGAAAGACAGCACUGUAAGGCACCUGGGAGAUGAUAGUUUAUCUAGGCUACUUACUGUACAAGAAGGGGAAAGCAACAGUGCAUCUUUGGUGAUUGCUGUAGUAAUUUCUAUAGCUGAAGUACCUGCUUUUGUGUGUGUCUAUUUGACGUUGGCUGGGUAAGUUACUCAGUUUUUUGUGACAGGCAGGUGGUCGCACCCAGCUGUGUGCUGCAUUCCUAGUUUCACUGCUCUUCUCCUGGAAAAAGAUCUUGAAAUGACACUCAAACAUAAACAUAUCCUUCUCAUUUCAUUCAUUUGGGGACCUGAGGCAGUUUACAGGCCAUUCCAUGUCUCGGUUAAAGCAGUACGUGUUAAUACACUGGAGUCAACUGACUUGGACAUCUGUCCUUCAACAUCCACCAAAACUGAACUGAGUAUGUGUUGCUCAUAGGCUUAUGCCAUGGAUCAGCUUGCCCCUGACAGUUCACAGAAGCUAAACUGGAUGUUUCACAUCCACUUCAGAAAUCUUUUUAUAUUUGCUGUUCAAGUUCAGUGAGAAUACCCCUAGCACUGUCCAAUCGACAAGCAUUGUCCUUUUUCCUUUUUUUUUUUUUUUUUUUUUUAAACUUUCAAGUUUCUCUCCUUUUACAGUCCUAUUUUGCUUGCAGGCACCCAUUUCCUUCAUUUCUAAUUUAGGCAUGGGACACUUUCCCAGAACUAAAAUCAAGGCAUGAGUAAGGAAAAUGGUAUGCAGAGUAUGAGCACUGGUGAGGAGUAGAUGCCCUCUGUUACUACCAGUGAAGCCUUAUUAUCAACAUGACAAACCAAUUCAGAGCUUCCAUUAAGGCAGUUUGAUUUUGGCAUAGGAGGAAAUCAUCCAGCAUUUUUCAAAUUGAGUUUCAACGUUAUAGACUCACACCAAGGAGUAAAAAAUCACCUUUGUAUUUAUUUGGGCCAGGCAUAUGGGCAGACCAUUCACCUGUGUAGUACAGAUCUCUCACGGAGCAUUGUUUAACCACAAGGCCACCUCCAAAACCUUUGGAAAUCAGCAGGAAUGACUUCAGCAGGGUGUUUGGCCUCAGCGCAAGUGUGCCCAUGCAACUGGCAAUGCCACAGCAAUAGCUGUAGCCCUUUUUACUUGCAUGGAGCAAUAUCACACUAUAUUCACCCCUGUUGCUUAGAUGAGCAAGUUUAUCACCUGGACUCGAAAGCCACGGUGGCACAGAAGCAGCUGCCCGUAUUUCACACCCCUGGGUGGAGAACAGGAGGGAACACAGACCGCCUGCUUCGCUGCUGUGUGCGUGGGAAGGGUGACGAUUUUCUGAAGACCCUAUUUCUUUGUCCCCCAGGAAGAUUAGCUGGAGCGGGAGGAUUGCACAACACCGGGAGAAACGCACGGUCCCACCCCGGACGGAGGGGGCGUCCCUUGAAGCCAUCGACCCGGAGCCGGUGCAGCCGGGUGUCCCGGGGGUAACAGCUGUGCUCACAGCUGUGUAGAGCCGCACUGCUCCGAGCGCAGCCAGCGGCGGCCGCAGCUGCUGCGGGAGCCGGGGCGCCCUGCGGAAAGGCGGCCGUCCCGCUGCGGCUGCAGGCAGCCCCGGGCGCCCAGCGCGGCGGCGGACACGGGCCCGGCAGGGCGGCCGGCGGGGCGGGCCGCGCGCGGGCAGGGCAGGGCGGCGCCGGCGGGAGCGCGCGCUGUGAGCGCCCCCUGCUGGGCCGGCAGACGCCGCCGGGCCGCACCGCGCCGCCCCCCCCGCCGCCGCCGCCCCGUCACCGGUGUCAGCCAGCGCCCGCCGCCGCCCCGUCACCGGCCUCUGCCGGCGCCCACCACUGCUCUGUGACGUGUGUCAGCCCGCGCCCGCCAGCGCCCCAUAACGUGGGUCUGUCAGCGCCCGGCUGCACCCUGCAACCUGCCGCUGCUGGCACCCGCCACCGCUCCGUAACGUGUGUCUGCCAGCACCCGCGCCCACCCCGUAAUGUGUGUCUGCCAGUGCCCAUCACCACUCCGUAACAUGUCUGCCAGUGCCCACCAGCGCCCGCCAGCACCCCGUAACGUGUCUGUCAUUGCCCACCAUUGCCCCAUAGUAUGUGUCUGCCAUUGCCCACCACCCCCCCAUAAUACCUGCCAUCGCUCACCAGCGCCUGCCAGCACCCCAUAACAUGUCUGCCCAUCACCCACCAGCACUCUGUAACUUGCCUGCCAUCACCCACCAUUGCCUGCCAUCGCCCCAUAACAUGUCUGUCAUUGCCCACAUCACCCCGUAACGUGUCUGCCAUCGCCCACCAUCACCUCAUAACCUGUCUCUACCAGAGCCCACCAGCACCCCGUAACAGAUCUGCCAUUGCUUGCCAUCACCCCCCAUCGUGUCUGCCAUCACCCACCAUUGCCCCAUAACGUCUGCCAUUGCCUGCCAUCACCCUGUAAUGUGUGUCUGCCAGCAUGCAUCAUCGCCCCGCAAUGUCUGCCAUUGCUCACCAUUGCCCUGUAACAUGUCUGCCAUCACCCACCAUCAUCCCAUAACAUCUGCCAUUGCCCACCAUCACACCGUAAUGUGUGUCUGCCAUCACCCAUCGCCCACCAGCACACCAUAACGUCUGCUAUCGCCCACCAGCGCCCCAUAACCUGUCUUUGCCAUUGCCCACCAUUGCCCCAUAAUGUGUGUCUGCUACCACCUGCGACUGCCCACCAUGGCCCCACACCUCCCGCGCCGUGGGUGGGCAGCAGACCCACACCUGCCCACCCGCAAUGCCGGCUGCCCGCCACCAGCAUGGCCUAUGGGAGCAGAGUGGCAGGCCUCUCCCUGGUGGGAACCGCACUUCAUCCUGAGGGACAACAGCAGCAGAGAUCUCGCCCCAAGCAUGACAUCGGCACAGCUCUUUCCAGUAUCCCAGCUCCAGUCCCUGCAAGGUGCUGAGACAAUGUCGUGAGUCCUCUGCCACAUGAGCCACCCUGGUCUCUCUGCCAGUGCCCUCAGGUUGAGCCUAGUCCCAUCUUCACACCCACCACCGCCAGCUCUUGAAGGUGCCUUCAAGCUGAUUUCAGGGCUUUGCCUGCAAACCUGCAGUGUCUUAAGCACCAGUAGUUUAGACUUGACCAAGACAUCCCUAGUGGACACUGCAGUUUGCCUCUCCCUGCAGGAAGCAUCCCUUGCUCUCUGUUGGGUUCAUCAUCUUUGGCAGGCAGACAAGUUUUUCCAAAAGCCGAAGCCUCCGCUCCAGAAGCAAUCAGGGGGCUCAUUCAGCGUUCGGUCAUCCAACAAUCCCUGUGCCUUGGCUGAGAGCACGCAGUCUCCCACCAGCCCCACAAAGCUCCUUCUGUGGGGCAUAAAUAUACUGCCGGAAAGCAAUCAGCAUCUGGGACCCAGGUGGCUGGCCAAGGUGAGAGUGGAUCGUUGGAGGGGAUGGAGCAGCAUGAGAUAAUCUCGGCUGUUUGUUCGCACUGGAAAACUGUUGGAGAAAUAACACCACUGUUCUAGUGCCAGUGGCCUGGUGUGAACUGCUUUGCUGUGAACGCUUGUCUUUGGCUCACAGUCUCAGCUUCUCUGCACCACAUGUUAAUAAAGAUUCAGAUAAUUUUCUGA